rnacentral:lncRNA from 1 species
UGAGUCACAUUCUACCCCAGACUGAGAGCCCCUGAGCUAGGAUCCACUCCAUCCCCAUAUGUUCAUGGUCCCCCAGGGCUCCCUGUUAUGGACUCUAUAGGCCCACAGAGGAUGGGUGGCCCUACUACCCCCAUGGCCAGGCUGGCAGGAGGUGUGGACUGGAGACUGAGCAGGAGAGGGGGCGGGGUUUGUUGGUGGUGACACAGCAGCUUGCUCAAGUCCUUCCUGCCUUCAGUCUGAUAUUUGCAUGUGUGUAAAUAUCCCCCUUCCGGCAGGCUGUCAGGAGCCCCUGUCUUCCCGGGAUGGACCAUGGAUCUUCUUGCUCCCUUCCACUCAUCCUAGCCUUCUGCAUCCAGCUGUCUGUAGAAUAAAGAUGGGUAGAUGAGAGCCAUAGCUGACCAGCAGCCAGAGAGAAAUCUACAUUUCUGUGAGCUACUAGCCUGGCCUGGUGAAUACAGCACAGUGGCCAGGUCCUAGGAAGUUACCUGGUUUUCUGGUUGUGUCCCCCAACAUUCAGGCCACAGACCAUCCAGCAUCAGAUCUACUUUUCUGCACAUUCCAAGCUUCGUUGUCACCCGACUCUACAUAUCAGCACUCAGACUACCCGGGAAUCUUCACAGACUCCGGAAUGGAGGACCUUGUUCUUGCUUCUUAAAUGCUUUCCCAAAAAUUUCCAUGAGGGCUGGAGAGACGACUUGGGGGUGAGGAGUGCUUGCUGCUCCUGCAGAGGACCCCCAGUGCCAGGAGAGCCGACACUCUCUCCUGGCCUCCAAAAGUACUGCCCUUCCUUACACAUGUCCACCACAGACAGACACACACACACACACACACACACACACACACACACACAAUUAAAUAAAUCUUCAAUUUUCUGAAUUGAAGUUUUUGACCCCUUUGUU